rnacentral:misc_RNA from 1 species
AUUGCUGUUUUUGUUGCUGUUAUCAUAUGCUUCACUCUGAUUUACGUCCUUUCAUAUGUCCAUCUUUCAGGUGCAAAAAGAACAAUUAUCCUUGCAACUAGUGUCCUGGUUGGACUCUCACUCAUUUUAAUAUUAUCUGGUAUUGUUCCACCUUUUACUGAAGACAAUGGCAGAGCUGUCAAUGUUGUGCACGUUGUGGAUACAACAGGAAGCUAUGGUAAUAAGCAAGAUCCUACCUCGUAUAUAUCAUUAUUUUCCACAACACCUGGAAAGUUGACAAAGGAGGUUGAACAGAUUAAAGAAGGAUUCUCAUGUGGGAGAGACAAGGUUGUUGAUUUUGUUACUUUUUUUGUCAAAUAUGGUUGUCGGACCCAUGAGGACACUAAAGGUGGAUGGAGUGACACAGAUAUUCCUACAUUGCAUGUUGAAAGUGAUACCAAAGGAGAUGAGAGAAUAACACAAGUUUCAAUUGAUACGAAGGUUUCUAUACGUUGGUCUCUUGCAAUCAAUACUGAAGAAGUAGAAGAUUUUAUUUUGACAGGGAAUUCAGAGGAAUUAAUUCCAUUUGGCAACAAGAGCAGCACAGACGGAUGGCAUAUAAUUCAGUUUUCCGGGGGAAAAGAAGCUCCUAGAAAGUUUGAGCUAACCCUUUUCUGGGUGAAGAAACCUAUGAAGUCUGCUCACAGUGUGGAUGAACAACAGACUGAGGACCAACAGCCCCUGUUAAAGCUAAGAACAGAUGUUGACCGAUUAACACCAAAAGCUGAAAGAGUUCUCAAGAAGCUCCCUGCAUGGUGUUCCCAGUUUGGGAAGUCCUCAUCUCCCUACACCCUAGCAUUUUUCAGCAGUCUUCCUGUUGAUUUUUAGAUAACUGAAAUGUCCUCCAGAAAGUAUAAAGAGUACGAGGGAGCAUUAACUUAACAUGAACUGAUGUAUCUUCCUGUUUCUUGGAUCUUAUAAACAGAAUGUGUGGAGAUAAAGUAGGAAAAAACUCAAAAGGGGAGUAUUGUUUAUUCAGUACAGUGGUGAUUAGGAAGUUAAAGAGUAAGGCCUCUUUAUACUUUCUGGAGGAUAUUUCAA